rnacentral:rRNA from 1 species
AGUUAAGUGAGAAAGCGUACAGGGCGGAUGCCUUGGCAAUCAGAGGCGAUGAAGGACGUGCUAAUCUGCGAAAAGCGUGGGUGAGUUGAUAAGAAGCGUUUAACCCACGAUGUCCGAAUGGGGAAACCCGAUAGGCGAAGAGCCUAUCAUUACGAGGUGAAUAAAAUAGCCUCGUAAGGCGAACCGGGAGAACUGAAACAUCUAAGUACCCCGAGGAAAAGAAAUCAACCGAGAUUCUGUGAGUAGCGGCGAGCGAAAGCGGAGGAGCCAGUAAGUAAUAGCAGCAGAGAUAGAGGAAUUGUCUGGGAAGGCAAGCGACACAGGGUGAUAGCCCCGUACUUAAAAUCCAGGCUGUGGUACUAAGCUUACGAGAAGUAGGGCGGGACACGAGGAAUCCUGUCUGAAGAUGGGGGGACCAUCCUCCAAGGCUAAAUACUCCUGAUUGACCGAUAGUGAACCAGUACUGUGAAGGAAAGGCGAAAAGAACCCCGGUGAGGGGAGUGAAAUAGAACCUGAAACCCUGUACGUACAAGCAGUGGGAGCCCGCAAGGGUGACUGCGUACCUUUUGUAUAAUGGGUCAGCGACUUAUAUUUUGUAGCGAGGUUAACUGAAUAAGGGAGCCGAAGGAAACCGAGUCUUAACUGGGCGAAGAGUUGCAAGGUAUAGACCCGAAACCCGGUGAUUCAGCCAUGGGCAGGUUGAAGGUUGGGUAACACUAACUGGAGGACCGAACCGACUAAUGUUGAAAAAUUAGCGGAUGACCUGUGGCUGGGGGUGAAAGGCCAAUCAAACCGGGAGAUAGCUGGUUCUCCCCGAAAUCUAUUUAGGUAGAGCCUUGUGUGAAUACCUUUGGGGGUAGAGCACUGUUUCGGCUAGGGGCCCAUCCCGGGUUACCAAACCGAUGCAAACUCCGAAUACCAAAGAGUAAUGCACAGGAGACACACGGCGGGUGCUAACGUCCGUCGUGGAGAGGGAAACAACCCAGACCGCCAGCUAAGGUCCCAAAAUCUAUAUUAAGUGGGAAACGAAGUGGGAAGGCUUAGACAGCUAGGAUGUUGGCUUAGAAGCAGCCACCAUUUAAAGAAAGCGUAAUAGCUCACUAGUCGAGUCGGCCUGCGCGGAAGAUGUAACGGGGCUAAAAUAUAGUACCGAAGCUGCGGCAUCAAUCGAAAGAUUGUUGGGUAGGGGAGCGUUGUGUAAGCGGAAGAAGGUGGUUCGAGAGGAUUGCUGGACGUAUCACAAGUGCGAAUGCUGACAUAAGUAACGAUAAAACGGGUGAAAAACCCGUUCGCCGGAAGACCAAGGGUUCCUGUCCAACGUUAAUCGGGGCAGGGUGAGUCGGCCCCUAAGGCGAGGCUGAAAAGCGUAGUCGAUGGGAAACGGGUUAAUAUUCCCGUACUUGGUAAAGCUGCGAUGUGGGGACGGAGAAGGUUAGGUUAUCGACCUGUUGGAGAUGGUCGUUUAAGUUGGUAGGUGGGUGAGUUAGGCAAAUCCGGCUCACCGUUAACACUGAGAGAUGAUGACGAGGCACUAAGGUGCUGAAGUAACUGAUACCACACUUCCAGGAAAAGCCACUAAGCUUCAGGCUUUACUAAACCGUACUGAAAACCGACACAGGUGGUCAGGUAGAGAAUACUCAGGCGCUUGAGAGAACUCGGGUGAAGGAACUAGGCAAAAUAGCACCGUAACUUCGGGAGAAGGUGCGCCGGCGUAGAUUGUAGUGACUUGCUCACGAAGGUUGAACCGGUCGAAGAUACCAGCUGGCUGCAACUGUUUAUUAAAAACACAGCACUCUGCAAACACGAAAGUGGACGUAUAGGGUGUGAUGCCUGCCCGGUGCUGGAAGGUUAAUUGAUGGUGUAAUCGAAAGAGAAGCUCCUGAUCGAAGCCCCAGUAAACGGCGGCCGUAACUAUAACGGUCCUAAGGUAGCGAAAUUCCUUGUCGGGUAAGUUCCGACCUGCACGAAUGGCAUAAUGAUGGCCAGGCUGUCUCCACCCGAGACUCAGUGAAAUUGAAAUCGCCGUGAAGAUGCGGUGUACCCGCGGCUAGACGGAAAGACCCCGUGAACCUUUACUAUAGCUUGACACUGAACCUUGAAUUUUGAUGUGUAGGAUAGGUGGGAGACUAUGAAGCGGUAACGCCAGUUAUCGUGGAGUCGUUGUUGAAAUACCACCCUUUAACGUUUGAUGUUCUAACGAAGUGCCUGAAACGGGUACUCGGACAGUGUCUGGUGGGUAGUUUGACUGGGGCGGUCUCCUCCCAAAGCGUAACGGAGGAGCACGAAGGUUUGCUAAUGACGGUCGGACAUCGUCAGGUUAGUGCAAUGGUAUAAGCAAGCUUAACUGCGAGACAGACAAGUCGAGCAGGUGCGAAAGCAGGUCAUAGUGAUCCGGUGGUUCUGAAUGGAAGGGCCAUCGCUCAACGGAUAAAAGGUACUCCGGGGAUAACAGGCUGAUACCGCCCAAGAGUUCAUAUCGACGGCGGUGUUUGGCACCUCGAUGUCGGCUCAUCACAUCCUGGGGCUGAAGUAGGUCCCAAGGGUAUGGCUGUUCGCCAUUUAAAGUGGUACGCGAGCUGGGUUUAGAACGUCGUGAGACAGUUCGGUCCCUAUCUGCCGUGGGCGUUGGAGAAUUGAGAGGGGCUGCUCCUAGUACGAGAGGACCGGAGUGGACGCAUCACUGGUGUACCAGUUGUCUCGCCAGAGGCACAGCUGGGUAGCUAAAUGCGGAAGAGAUAAGUGCUGAAAGCAUCUAAGCACGAAACUUGCCUCAAGAUGAGUUCUCCCUGACUUAGAGUCAGUAAGGGUUGUUGGAGACGACGACGUAGAUAGGCUGGGUGUGUAAGCGGUGUGAGCCGUUGAGCUAACCAGUACUAAUUGCCCGAGAGGCUUAACUAU